rnacentral:lncRNA from 10 species
GCAUAUAACAUAUAAAAUUUAAUAGCCAAAAUUAGUUUAAACCAUAUAUGAAACAAAAAGUCACAUAAAAGAAAUAUUAAUGUAUGCUUUCCAAAUUUGACUGAUCUGCAUGUAAAGAUUAAACAUAAUGAUUUUUAAAAAUAGCAACGAUUUCCACUAGGCUCUGUUUGUAGCCUUUGAAUUACUGAUGACAUAGGGGUCUGGAUAUACAGCAUUUUUGUGUGUGUGUUACCAACUCAUUGUGUAUAGAUGCAAUGGUUUAUUGCUAGACAUGAACUUAAAAGGAAGAAAUUCAAAUUAGCUUUUAAAUGUAGUAUGUAACAAUCAAUAUUGAUAGAUUCCAGGUUUACCACUAGGAAAAUGAUAGAAAAUGUUGUUUUCCCUUUAAUUAUUCCCUAUUUAACUCAUUUUCAAAUUGCUAAACGAAACUUGUAAUAUUGUUUUAUUGAGUUAUAAAUAGUUUAUGGAAAUGUUCCUAUAUGGAUAUUUGUAUUCUUAUACAUGCAUAGAAAACUGGAAGCAUACCUUGAAAUAUUUGAAAAAUGGUUAACCCUGGGAAACUGGAUACAAACAAACAGUAAGAUGAGGAGAAGUUUUUAUUUUCUCCUUCUUGUAAUAGCACAUUGUGUAAUUUUUGGAACUCUGUGAAUGAUUCACUCUUGUAAAUGUAUUUAAUAGAAAAAGUUGUGAGAACUGAAUGAUAGAAUCUGGAAUGGCUUCAUUUGCAUUAAGUGCAAGUGCCUAGAACAAUACCCUGCCUGACGAAGGCUCUUAGUAAAUAGUCGUUAAAUGAAUAAAUCAAGCUAUUACAUUCAGAACAUAUUAGUAUAUGGAUGGGGGAGGAGUUACUAAUGUUGGAUUUCACCCACAAAGAGUUGUGAUAGAAGUGACAGCUGACAAUUGCUUUCCAGGAACAAAUCAUAAGAAAGCUUUGUUCAUAUUGUUCUUGAAAAGCUAAUAAUAAAAUUAAAUUAGCUAUUACCAAAAUAGGUUUAAUUAUAUAUUUAAUCAUUGGGGAGGGAUUUUUUUACGUUCCUUGAAAAAUACUAAAAAUCUUGAGGUUUUAAAAUGGAGAAUAUGCAAACCCAUUCCAUUUGACACAUAAAAGGUUUGAAUCUACCAUCUUCUUCUUAACAUCUUUGAAACAAAUUGUCAAAGAAGAAGCAGUGCGCUGUUAAAUGGAAAAGACUUCUUGUGGUUAUUAUCACCGUGAAGAACCAGAUCCUAUACUACGUUGGAAAUACAUGUUGGUGGAGCUCAUAUAGAUCACAAGGUAAGAGUCACAUUCCAGACACCUUAGGUAGAAUUUUAAUAAAGAUUAAAAAAAAAUACAAAACAUUCAGCAAUCACAAAAUGAGCCCAUGGAGUAUUUAAAUGAGUUCCAACUUCAUGUUCUACCAAUUUUUACUUAAACAAAGUCUUUUCUAGAAACUAUCAGCACUUGGAACUGUUAAGAAUCAGAAAACAAUAUCCUAAAAUGAAGGCCUCAGAAACAGCUCUCUGACCUUCUCCUGCCCUCCUGUCUCUGUCCCUGCAUUCUUCCCUGAGGCUAGGCAUAGAAACUAGAAUCCCUCUUUCCCAAAGCAGUUCUUAGAAACCAGAAACCUUUUUUCCCAAAGCCAGCCAUAAAACUUAAAAUAAUACUCCAAAAAUACUUUCCCCCACCUUUCUGUGUAAACUAGCCAUAAAGAAGUUAUUGGGCCAAACAUGUUUGAUUGUAGGUCAUAAGACCCCCAUUCCAGAGAGGGUACUGCCCCAUACCCAAAAUGUUGCACAGACAGAACAAGAAGAAUCUAAACAGACAGGCUUUGCUGGGUUUCCCCACUCAGCCUCUUAGCAUUACAUCACAUCCUUUUUGUCCAGUCAAAUUUCUACAUGGCUGCCCAUACUUUGUUGAAUCUAACCAUAAAAAUGGACGGUUUCCCUUGUAUCUUUGGGUCUUCAUUCUAAAGGUUCCCAUAUCACAUAAAAUUGUGAUUAAAUUAAUUUUUGUGUCUUUUCUCCUAUUAAUUUGCCUUUUGUCAGUUGAUUUUUAGCAAUCUUUCAUAGAGGGAAGAAGAAUUUUUCUUCUUCUGGCCCCUACAGGAAUAAAUUAUUUGAAAAGUAAAUUCCCAUUUUGGGCCUAUUAAUGAUGUGCCACUCAGAAAACAUAAAUUUUGGACAAUAAGCAGCAUCAAGUAAGAAAAUUCUUGUUCAGUUUAUGUCAAUAAACACUAACACAUUCACAGCCCCUUCUCGUGAACCUAGUUAUCAUCUUCCUUACCCAUUAGUUACAUAUACAGGCAUAUACAUCUUCAUAUGCCCUUUAUUCUUAAUGGAGAAUGUUAGAAGUACUAAUCUCUCAGAAGCAUUCCUGCUGUUUAAUUUGAUUAUGUGCACUUCUAAUUGGUAAGACAUUGAAUUUUGUACUGUAUUUAGCAAAUCUUUUGGGCUUAGUUUUACUUGUUUCUAAGCUCUAGCACUUAAUUUAUUAGUAUGAAACUACCUCUAUGCCAGCGUCUCUCAAAGUGCAUUCUACCAACCAUCUGCACUCAGAAGCUUGUUCAAAAUGCAAAUUCCUGCAACCCAGUCAGACCUGCAGAAUCACUGCUUCUGGAAGGUGAGCCCUAGCAAUCUGUAUUUUGAAAAAGAUGCCUCAUGUACACUUACGCCUAAGAACCACUAUGUUUGCAGGGGUGCAUAGGCAAAGGAGUCUUACCUAAGGGGGCGAGGGAGAACUAGGAGAGAGGGAAAAGCAGUGGAAAAGAGGGAAACUGGAACACUUGUUCUGCCCUCAGGCAAGCCUUGGGAGCAUAGACAUUUUUUCCACCACACCCUCUUUGUAGCAGGAUUGGUUCUUUCACAUUUGACGUCACCGUGGAAGCACAAGCUGCUAGGUGCAGUCUCUUCUGUCCCAGCCUGGAGUGGGUGCAGUAGGAGAAAGCUAGGCAAGCCAGAUCAGAAACUAGGUGUCAGCCCCCCAAAUGGAUGACGAUCCUUUUGACCGUGGGUUGUGGUUUUGGCAGUUGCGCCCACCUUUGCUGUCUCAGAUGCUUGCUAUUCAAAAUGACCACAGAAGGCUAAAUCCAAAGGUGGCGAUUGAUAAAGAAACUGCUGAGACAUCUCUCUCCUUCUAGGUUACCUCCAGUGAAGUCAAAAGUAAUGUCAGACAGUGCUCAGAUAUCCAGUCCUUUCAAGAUGUAAUAAUAAGCCACCUGAAUUUAUGCAUAUAUUUGGCAUGGUUCUUCAGUAAUGUUUACAGAGCUCCGGGUUUCUUCACUACUGUUGCCUUUGCUCAAAGCCUGUAAUUAUGAU